CUCUACUCACCUUGUAUUAUCUUAGAACUUGAAUAGAUUCUAGUUCUUCUUAUUUGCAUAGUUUUCUAUUUUAAAUGAUGUACCAUAGCUUGGGUAAAUCUGCACCCGUCACCGAAUUGCUUUGUAUUUCUACCUCAUGUGCCUCCCAUCCUAUAUACAGCUGUUUACAAUUAGUCGGUAGUCGCGAUAAGUUGUGACAUUGUUUGAAGAGUUAGUUCCUCCUCCUCCUCCCCCCUUCCUCCUCCUCCUCCCCCCCUCCUCCUCCUCCUCCUCUACUAGUAACGAAACUCCCCCUCCCUCCCCUCCCAAUUUCCUCUCUAGAAUUUUUUUUUUCUUUAGCGUUUUCGCACAAAGGUGCCAACAUUUGGUAGAUGAGACAGGGAAAUAUUAGUGCCGGACUUAAAUAAGUGGAGGCCCCGAGCUGGAGUUUUGUGAUGCUCCUCAUCUUGUCAAGCUUGAAUGUAAAGACACUUCAUAAUUUGCUGAGACUCUCUAUAAACACUUAUCUUAUCUUAUAAAAUAAAAUAAAGACGUUACUUUUAAACCAAGAUGAUUACGUCCUAUGGGUCAAGCAUCUAGUCAUGCAUGUUAUCCAAUGAU